UUACGGCCACAUCACGUUGAAACACUGUUUCCAAUACGAUCACCGAAAUUAAGCAAAUUCGAGCCUGGUCAGUACCUAGAUGGGUAACUACUUGGGAAUAU